GGGGGGAGGUUCAGACGGACAGAGCAGGAGAGCCGGGAAGGGGGAUGGAGCGAAGACGGAGCCCCUGUGCCCCCUUGGAGGCAUCGCGAGUCAUCCCAGCCCCGCUGAACUGAACUCGGGCUGCGAACGGUCUGGUUGGCGGUACAGCUGCAGCUGGCCCAUGGAAUCCCUGGACAGGACCUCCUCUCCUAUGAAAGCCUACAUGGGGCAUUCCAGAAGACAUGCAAGUCAGGAAGAGUGCGGAGGAGGAGGAGCCGAAGAAGAGGAAAGCCCUCACACCUCUGAGAGUCAGGAGGA